AACCUCAUGGCUUCACGGUAUUGCAAUGAGAACAAUUUAAAACCCUUAGCGAGAAUCAAGUGGAGGACAAGUCUGGUGCCAGCACCCGCGGUAAUUCCAGCUCCACUAGCGUAUAUUAAAGUUGUUGCAGUUAAAAAGCUCGUAGUUGAACCUCUGUCUGGGGCUAGUUUUGGCUUUGGUCAGGCUAGUUCUAGGCAUCCGCCUACAAGACUUAGAGGGCAUUCAGUUGUUCACUAGGAGGAGUAGGCAUUUUACUUUGAAAAAAUUAGAGUGUUUAAGGCAGGCAAUCGCCCGCAUAUAUUAGCAUGGAAUAAUAGAAUAGGACACUUUUCCAUUUCGUUGGUUAUUGGAAUCGUGUAAUGAUUAAUAGGGACAGUUGUGGGCAUUUGUAUUUAAUUGUCAGAGGUGAAAUUCUUGGAUUUAUUAAAGACAAACUAACGCGAAAGCAUUUGCCAAGGAUGUUUUCAUUAAUCAAGAACGAAAGUUAGGGGAUCAAAGACGAUCAGAUACCGUCCUAGUCUUAACUAUAAACUAUUCCGACUCAAUGUUUGACUGGCUUAUAUAACCAGUUGAGCGUUGUAUGAGAAAUCAAAGUCUUUAGGUUCUGGGGGGAGUAUGGUUGCAAAGCUGAAACUUAAAGGAAUUGACGGAAGAGCACAACCAGGAGUGGAUUCUGCGGCUUAAUUUGACUCAACACGGGGAAACUUACCAGGUUAAAACAAUAGUGGGAUUGACAGUUUGAGAGCGCUUUCUUGAUUGGUUGGGUGGUGGUGCAUGGCCGUUCUUAGUUGGUGGAGUGAUUUGUCUGCUUAAUUGCGUUAACGAACGAGACCUUAACCUGCUUACUAGACUGGCGAUCAUCAAUCGUUAGUUCUUCUUAGAGGGACUUUGGUUGUUUUAACUCCAAGGAGGUUUGAGGCAAUAACAGGUCUGUGAUGCCCUUAGAUAUCCUGGGCCGCACGCGUCAUACAAUGACUAGUUCAGAAAGUUUUCUCCUGACCCGAAAGGGGAUGGGUAAUCUUGAUAAUACUAGUCGUGUUAGGGAUCGAUCUUUGCAAUUAUAGAUCUUGAACGAGGAAUUCCUAGUAAGUGCGGUCCAUCAGACCGUACUGAUUACGUCCCUGCUCUUUGUACACACCGCCCGUCGCUUCUACCGAGUGGGUGGUCCGGUGAGAUAAUUGAACUUCGCAGGUAACUGAGAGGAAAGAUUAUCAAACCUAUCCACCU
rnacentral:rRNA from 1 species